rnacentral:rRNA from 1 species
UAGGAAUCUUCCACAAUGGACGCAAGUCUGAUGGAGCAACGCCGCGUGAGUGAAGAAGGUCUUCGGAUCGUAAACUCUGUUGUUAGAGAAGAACACGAGUGAGAGUAACUGUUCAUUCGAUGACGGUAUCUAACCAGCAAGUCACGGCUAACUACGUGCCAG